rnacentral:rRNA from 3 species
UUGGAGGGCAAGUCUGGUGCCAGCAGCCGCGGUAAUUCCAGCUCCAAUAGCGUAUAUUAAAGUUGUUGCAGUUAAAAAGCUCGUAGUUGAAUUUCGGGGUUAGUAGGUUGGUCAUGCCUCUGGUAUGUACUGGUCUCACUGAUUCCUCCUUCCUGAUGAACCUUAAUGCCAUUAAUUUGGUGUUUUGGGGAAUUUGGACUGUUACUUUGAAAAAAUUAGAGUGUUUAAAGCAAGCUAACGCUUGAAUACAUUAGCAUGGAAUAAUGAAAUAGGACGUUCGAUCCUAUUUUGUUGGUUUCUAGGAUUGACGUAAUGAUUAAUAGGGAUAGUUGGGGGCAUUAGUAUUCAAUUGUCAGAGGUGAAAUUCUUGGAUUUAUUGAAGACUAACUACUGCGAAAGCAUUUGCCAAGGAUGUUUUCAUUAAUCAAGAACGAAAGUUAGGGGAUCGAAGACGAUCAGAUACCGUCGUAGUCUUAACCAUAAACUAUGCCGACUAGGGAUCGGAUGAUGUUAAUUUUUUAAUGACUCAUUCGGCGCCUUACGGGAAAC